GAUGAACGCUAGCGGCAGGCCUAACACAUGCAAGUCGAGGGGUAACUAGAGUGAUAGCAAUAUUACUUUGGCUAGACCGGCGCACGGGUGCGUAACACGUAUGCAACCUACCUUAUACUGGGGAAUAACUUCGAGAAAUCGGCGCUAAUACCCCAUGACACUGCGGAGAGGCAUCUCUUUGCAGUUAAAGCUCCGGCGGUAUAAGAUGGGCAUGCAUCCAAUUAGCUAGUUGGUGAGGUAACGGCUCACCAAGGCUACGAUUGGUAGGGGUUCUGAGAGGAUGAUCCCCCACACUGGUACUGAGACACGGACCAGACUCCUACGGGAGGCAGCAGUGAGGAAUAUUGCGCAAUGGACGAAAGUCUGACGCAGCCAUGCCGCGUGCAGGAUGACGGCCCUAUGGGUUGUAAACUGCUUUUGUACGGGAAUAAACCCUUCUACGUGUAGAGAGCUGAAGGUACCAAAUGAAUAAGCACCGGCUAACUCCGUGCCAGCAGCCGCAGUAA
rnacentral:rRNA from 1 species